GACGAACCGUACGAACGUUAUUCGGAAUCACUCGGCUUAAAGGGCUCGUAGGCGGCCAACUAAGUCAGACGUGAAAUCCCUCGGCUUAACCGGGGAACUGCGUCUGAUACUGGAUGGCUUGAGAUUGGGAGAGGGAUGCGGAAUUCCAGGUGUAGCGGUGAAAUGCGUAGAUAUCUGGAGGAACACCGGUGGCGAAGGCGGCAUCCUGGACCAACACUGACGCUGAGGAGCGAAAGCCAGGGGAGCAAACGGG
rnacentral:rRNA from 1 species